rnacentral:rRNA from 1 species
CUUCGCGGCGUGGCCUAACACAUUGCAAGUUCGUACGAGAUGUUCGCUUCGGUAAGCAGUCAAGUCGGCGCACGGGUUGAGUCACGCGUCGGAUAAUCUACCCUUUAGUCUGGAAUAACUUCGUCGAAUUGCGAACUAAUACCGGAUAAUAUCCUGGGUUUUCUCCGGAAAUUCGGGAUUCAAAGAAUGCCUCCGCUUCGCAAGCUCCCCGCUGAAGGAUGAGUCCGCGUACCAUUAGCUAGUCGGUAGGGUAACAGCCUACCAAU